GCAACGCCGCGUGAGUGAUGAAGGCCUUAUUGUUGUAAAGCUCGUUAAACCGGGAUGAUAAUGACAGGACCGGGAGAAUAAGCUCCGGCUAACUCCGGGCCAGCAGCCGCGGUAAUACGGAGGGAGCUAGCGUUAUUCGGAAUUACUGGGCGUAAAGCGCACGUAGGCGGGUUUGUAAGGAAGAGGUUAAAGCCCAGAGCUGAGGUUUGGAAAUGGCUUUUAGACUGGAUCGCUUGAAACAUGGAGAGGGAGGGGGAUUCCGAGUGGAUAAGUGAAAAUCCUAGAUAUUCGGAAGAACACCAGUGGGGAAGGGCGGUGACUGGACAAGUAUUGACGCUUAGGGGCGAAAGCUGGGGAGCAAACAGGAUUAGA
rnacentral:rRNA from 1 species